GGGGGGGAAAGACGAGGAGAAAAAAAUUUAAACGCCGCAACUACGAUUAAGGGUUUUUGAAAAACUGCUUGCGUGUGCGGAUAAAAUUUAUAAAUAUAUAUUAUAUAUGUAAUAUAAAUAUAAUGCAAUUCAUAUAUUAGGCGUAAAUUCUGAUCCACGUGCGACGAGUAGGGGCGCGCGCGCGCGCUUAGUAUUUCGCGCUCACGGCACACGCGUAACGGCCACCCACAGUUACACUCAUCACGAAACACACCUCGUAUACAAAGAGACGAAGAGGGAAACAAACAAAGGAAAAAAAAAACACGUACGACACCGAUUGAACGAUAUAAUUGUAGUAAAACUUAACUAGGUACCAAUUUACCUAAAUCAAUUGAUAAUUAAAGUAUAUAUAUAUAUAUUGAUAAACAUAUUAUAUAUAAAUAUAUAUAUAUAUUAUAGAAAGUAGCAUUAUUCCAAUAACGUGACCCGAAUCGACGCGGACGUGGACGGAGGACCGUAACCGAUGUUUUCUAGUGAAAUUUUUCUAAUCUUUAAGUGAUUCCGAUAUUUUAGGUUUUCGCGUACCUAAUCUUAACCUAACACUUUUUCCAAAACGUUUAUAUCCAAAAAUAUCUAUUUAUCCGUCUACCUUAAUCUUAACUGUUGAAUCCUCGUCACGCGACGUCACACGUCAUACGCAACCAAUCACAACACGAAUUCUCCCCAUACCCGUCAUACACGCGUACACAUUUUAUAACACAAAUACACAAAACGUGCGCGUUCUUAUACACGGUCAUAAUUUUUGGACAUCAGUGUGCGUAGCUUAUUGUAAUCUCGCAGUAUUACCAAAGCGUUUUGCGUCGCGGUGCCGUGACACGUCGAGAGGGCCGAAAAACAAAACAAAGUUUUUUGUACUUUCUUCCCUAUCGACGCAUCCGACACUGUUUUCGAUCGUGAAUCAAACUCUAAGCGAUGUGUAUGUAAUAUGUGAAAACACUUAUUUUUCUCGUAGUCGUGAAAAAAAAAAGAAAAAAAGAAAAAGGAGUCUCUCCUGUAUUCUACUGUACCGUUUGCUCAUCCUUAAAGUCUAUCGGUCUGACCCAGCGUGAAGAAUUUCGAUACGUGUUCCUGUCGAGAGAAUUUGCCAUUUGCAAAACCCCAAAAACUCAACAAGUACUCCGUAUACGUGGCAGACGAAUACCACAUGAUACGGUGCACGGCAUUUUGUCACUUCCAUAGUCAAGGGAUACAGGAACCAGAGAAUUAAAUUCUUUCCGGUUUGGCGGGAUACCUUGUGCCGGAAGUCAAAGUUUGGUAUUUAAAUUUUCAAAUUUACGCGCGCAUUCCGAAAGGCACAUAUCACUUACGAUUUUCGGGGCAGCAGUAGGCGACGGACGUUCUUAAUUAAUUCCGAGGUUGAUCGAAUCGCGUCGUUUGUAAUUUACAAUGAAAUAUUUCUCGUCACGAACACGUUAGCCACGAGGAACCGGAAGUUCUUGACGUCACGGUUCUUCGUUGGGAUUCCAGUUUUAUCGAAGGAAUAUCCUCUCCCCCCGAAUGAAAAAAAAAAUAAAUAAAAAUUUGAGGAAGGUACGAUUGACACGGCACACGGGGACUGAUACGGAGCACAUCGUGCGAAUUGUGGGACACGUGCAGAUAUACAUACGGAUAGGAAAAUUAGGAGAAAUACAAAUAAAAAAAUGGAGACGAGUGUCAGGGAACACGUAUACACGCAAGGAUAUCGAUACUUAGGGAAACAGAUACGCAUAACGGAUAGGUGCACUUGAGACUUACCGUGCGAGCGAAAGUCAUGUGCAUAUACGUAUAUGGGGUGUGCGAAGGAAAAGUAAUUGAAAGAAAUAAUAAAUAUGUUAGGUGUGAUUUCUUCACCUCCUUUGUAAUAUGUGUGAUAAAGCAUAAUAUAUAUAUAUAAUAUAAUGACGAUUAUAUAUAUAUAUAUAAAGUACUAAUAUAUAAUUGAUAAUAAUGAUUAAAAAUAUCUAAUAUAUUGCGACAGACCUUAAAGGGGUGUAAUUGAAAUUAGGUACUAAUUGCACGAUACAACCGACGGAAGUAACAACAAUUACAAGAACAACACGAACAACAAUAUAGGAAACGGCUACAAUAUAUAAGAAGAGCGUUGAAACAGGACGUUUUGUAGAGGAAAAAAUGCGAGACACAUAACACACGAAAGAACGGCAAUUAAUAACAAUAAUAAAUAAAUGAGUAAAUAACAAUAACCAUUAAAAUUAAAUAUGGCGUCGGUCGUAACGUUGAUCGCUUAAUGAUGAUAUAAUUAAAGUGAAAAACCACUGUGAGGAUGAUAACGAGAUCGAAAGGAGUAAUAUGGUAGUCAUUUACGAUAGAUUUGUAUUUUUGAGUGUUGAAAAGUUUUUUAUACCGCUGUUAUAUUCUUGUCUAAAUAUCUUAGUUCAAAGAAGAAGGGACGUCGUCGAUAACGGGAGUGAACGUUUAAUGAAAAUUAAAAAAAAAAUUGAGUAAAACGAAAAAAAAAAGAGAAAACGUGACGUGAGGUAAAUGAAAAUGGAAUACAAUAAAGACGGUGAAAAUUGAAGAAAAAAAAUUGGGAGGAUGAGACCGAGAAUUUUUGUAUGUACGAUUUUGAGGCAGAUACAGAUAUAGAAAUACUAUGUGCGACAACGUCAGUCGGUUGACUAGAGGGGGACUUUUCGUGGGACGGAACUUUUUCAAAAGAUAUUGAACGGAAGUCGAUUGACAGUCAGUAGUGGAUGGGUGGGAGCGUCUGGUGACGUAAGAUCAAUGGCAACGAUAGUACGACUGUGAAUGAGAAUGGGUUCACAGGCAAUUCUAUGUGAUUGUGAUUUUAGUUAUUACGAGAAAAAAAAAAUGGGCCAAAAAAUACCCCAAUCCUCGAUUAUCUGGUAGGAUUGCCUGGAAAGAUAAGAACCGACAGGGUGUCGCAUGCGUUAACGUGUAUAUCGCCAGAGACAGAAUAGUUCGUUUCGCCACCCUCCGAAAAGCGAGAACUCAAGUCAUCCCUUCGCGAGUAAAAAUGUUCCGCGAAAAAAAAAAUUAAAAAAAAAAAAUAGAAAUCGAAAACAAAAGUAACUUCGCCAGACCCCUGUCCCCUCGAUGUAUCGGUUUUUCGACAAGGAUUUAAAUGAUUUUUAUUUUUCUAUAUCGAAUGAUUAUUCUUAAUCCUAGGAGAAAAAAAAAAGCGAAAUGAAAUUCGUAGCGUUUGUAUUAAUCUAAUGAUGAUUUUUAUAUAAGAUAUAUCAUAGGGUAGACCACCCUCCAAUUUCGCAGUGGCGGAAGUACAGGGGGUCGUCGUGCAAAUUUUCCAAAAAUUUCACAUCCCUCUACCAUGAUCCAGAACUUCGACGAUCCUCGAUCAUUCUCUUCAUCUUGUCAUCCUUCCUCAUGUCCUCUGACCCCUGUGACAAGAGGCCGAGGUAACAAUUUUCCUCUAACCAAAAGCACCGACCCCUUCCGACAGGGUCGAUCAAAUGUCUCCCUGCGACUUCCGUUUCGACGCGAUUUUCGGGAUUUUCUUUUUCCUGCGUUCGCGAUUGGUUUUGAAAAAACCUUAACGCCGGAGAUAAUCGCCGGGCUCGCUUCUCUCAAUGAUAAUGACGUCGCAGUCGGGCGAGUAGAUUUUCCGUCUUUCUUCACUUUAUUAAUUAAAAAUUAUUACUAUUACUACAAUUACUAUAACCACUCGCCUAUUGCUAUACCACUACUAUUUACUAUUACAAAUAUUAUUGCGAUUAUUAAUUGCUACUACUAUUAUUAUUAUCAUUAUUAUUAUUGAUACUAUUAUUAUUAUUACUAUUGUAUUAUCUUAGAGAUCUCCACAUACCAAAGAGACACACGACACUUAUACAUUUUGGACAUACACGCAUCACACACAUGUACACACUUACACACCAGGCGUCGUACACUCUCGCACGCGAUAACACAGGAUGAGUAAAAUAGACAUGGGGCGAUAAGAGAUGCGAAGGACGAAAGGAAAAAUGGCGUCAAAAAGGAUUGUGAUAUAAGAUCAGCGUGGAUCGAUUCGAUGAGACGACUCUUUAUCUUUGCUUUAUCACUCCUGUAAAGGUGGCAUUCCCGGUAUGCGGUAGCAGGAAUUACAGAGUUGGACAAUUGAGGUAGGAAGCAGGCUGCUCCUGGAGGAUCGGAGGAUUGGACGAGGCGAUUAAGGCAGAUUGUAGCCAGUUAUUAAUUCUGUCGAUCCAAUCUAUUUUUUCAUCUAAUUUGUGUUCCUUAAGAACGUUGCGUACUGCGCAAGCAAGUACUGCUUCUUACAUCAGUGUGUUUUCGUGGGAGUGAUAGAUGGAAAGGACGCGUGCGUGGAGUUUGGGAGAGAGUACGAGAACGGCAGAGAGUACGGCCGAGUGAGAGUGGGAGCCUGUGUUUCUCAUGAGAGAGAGAGAGAGAGAGAGAGAGAGAGAGAGUGAGAGAGAGAGAGAGGGUGAGCGCGAGAGUGAAGGACCGCGAGAGGGUGGUCAUGAUAUUUUUUGUCUGAUUGUUUUUAUACAUUUCUUUUCAUUUUCUUGUUUUUUCCUUUAUUUUUUUAUUUACUCUCUUUUUCGUAUUAAGGACUAACCGCGUAUAGGAGCUAAUGGACAUAGGCGUAAGGAUAAAUUAAAUAAUGGCGAAUUUAAAAGUGUAGAAGGUGUCUUAAGAGGUAAGAUUUAAAAGCAGCUGGGAGUAGUGCAAUGUUAUAGGGGAUGCUGAUGGUGAGAAUCGACCUGAGGAAGAUCGGGAGAUUUUUUUUAUCUUUAAGGGAACAUUUUUUCAUGAAUAAUGAAAGGGUGGGAGUCAGAGGUAGAGACAGCGAGAACGAGAGCGGGAGGGAGGGGGAGAGAGAGAGAGAGAGAGAGAGAGAGAGAGAGAGAGAGAGAGUGAUACAAUAUUUGCGAUGACUUUAAGUGAGAGUAAGAGAGGUCAGGGGUCACUGUGGCUUGCUGAGAUUUGUGUCCGACGUCGCGACGUCAAACGUCCCUCGUCUCACAAUACUUCGUAACGUCGUCACUCCGAAACCGAUCUCGCGAAGUCGAACCUCGAUCGUUUCUCGAUUAAAGUCGUGGAAGGAGUGGGGAAGGAAGGUCAUAGUGAUUAUCGAUUAAUCGAUUAAAUGCAAAAUAGAAGAGACAACUAGUCACAAGCCCAAACCAACACACUCGUAGAAAUUAAAGGGAUACGAGACGGAGAGAACUUAAUAAGUGAGAGAGAGAGAGAGAGAGAGAGAGAGAGAGAGAACGAGAGAGAGAGAGGGAAAAAAUCACAUUAAAAAUGGCGAUUCUUUGACCAUGUCAAUAUAUUCAUUCAACAUACCCGUGGUAUAUAUAUCUAUACAUACAUUUUACACGUGCAUAGAAAUUCAAUGAAAAAAACUCUUUCGUGUCGUAGCCCAAUCCCCUCUUGUUCCUAUCCGUUUCUUAAUAAAAAAAAAAAAAAUAAUUUUCAUGUAGACGAAGGGAUAUGGAAUAGCCCUGUAAAGCUAGCGAUUUCUUAAGGGAAUUAAAAAAAAAAAAGAAAGAGAAGUUGAACAAAAAUUGAUAUACUUUUUGGUAUGCAUACAUUAUCUACCUAGAUGCAUAUGUGGACAUGUGUAUCUAUUAUCUACUAUCUACGAAGCAAUUUGACUGUCCUUUGUGUGUCGUGCGAAUGCGCGCGCAUUGAUUACGAUUAUAAAGAUUAUUGAAAUGACGAAAAAAAAAAAAAAACUCAAAAAAAGGUAAUAAUAAUAACGCGAAGGAUAACAUAAAGCGUAACACACA